UGUGGGUUUCAUUUAAAGCCCACUCCUCCCUCAUGGUCUCAAUAAAAAUUAGAAGCUGGAGCUAACUAUAGAAGUGAACGUGAACAUGUGAUGGAACAAAUAAGCUGGUGCAUAUGACAGUGACAAAAACCACUGAAAGACAAUAUAUAAAUGGAUGGCUGAAAGGAACUAAGACGUGUUGGGCUUCAAAACAGUUCAUUUCUUUUUCUUUCAAUCUCUUAUGCACAGUCAUGUUUUACAUUCUCUGAUCUGUGUUGAUUCUGUAUAAGUAGAAAACUAUAAUUAUGAUUGUAACUAUCUUGUUGAUGUUAUGGA